rnacentral:lncRNA from 1 species
CACAUCACUCAAUAAUAUACAAAAUACAUGUUUAUACAUUUCAAAUUCAUGUUAAUACAUACAAAAAUACAUGUUAAUAAUUGAAGCAAUACAGUGCUUCUAAAUUUACCUCAAAGUACAACAAUAAAUAAAAUUGACAAGGAUCUUAAAUUGGUUCAUACUUCACCUUAUCUCUUUUCUUUAUUCUUUCUUCUUCGUGAUUGACUACUCAAAGAAAAACCACCGGUGGUGGUAGCUGUUUCCGGCGAAGACCAAGAGGGGGCAGCAUCCCCGUUUUCUUCCUCCAUCUCUUUCCUGUCAAUUGAAGCAAGCCAAACACACCCUAUUGUUGCUAUUGCUUUGCCCAUUGGACUAACCUGUAGCGAGAAAGGAACCCACAAGGUUUCAUCGGAGAACGCCCCCUGCCACUUUGCUCCGCCACCACCAAUUUCAGAUUUCGACUCUCCCUCUACCUUGCUUCGUCGAGCAUCCCCACACAACCACCAGUCCUUCUAUCUCUUUCCUUUUGGCUGUGUAUGUUACCGAAUCGGACCAGAAAAGGAGAAGACGCCGACGACAGCCACCUCGACAUCUGCUCCACAGUCGGCAGUCGCUGCUACUGUUGCCCUUCGUUUUCCUGCUGCCGGCGACGAGAAAGAACCCUGAGAAGGUUCGCCGGAGAUAGGCUACUCCUCCUCCUUGCUCGACAGAUGAACCGCCGAACCACCCUCCCUUGAUCGAUGUUUCGAUUUCUCUUCCUGCCCACGCAUUCUUUUUGUUUGCUUCGUUCUUCCCUUGGGCAAUCUAUCGGAAACGAGGGCACCAAAAUAAAACCCCGAUCCCUUUUAUUAGUUUGAUGGAUUUGGCAGAACUAACCCUCCAGUUGUAUCUUUUAAUUUCAAACAGCCCCAUUUUAAUAGAUAGAUCAAAAAUGGUCAAUGUUGGUUAAUUUAAGUUAUUAAACAACCAUCCACUUGUCGAGUUAUUACCAAAACAGUCCCACCAGCCUUGUGUUUUAUUUGAAACAUCCCUACACUUGUCUAGUAAUACCAAAAAUCCCCCUUUUUGUUAAUUAAGUGACAAAAAUAGUUAUGGUGGUUUGUUUUAAACUCAAAGAGCGUCAAGUUGCGGUUUCUCACGACAAACUUCACGAACCGAGCCUAGAUCGAGAUCACGCAUCGAAUGUGAGUUUCUACGACCCCUCUUUUACUGUUUUAAUAUCCGGGGGAGAAUACAUGAGUGUCUAUUUAAAGUUUGAUGAUUUUCAAGUCUUAUACAUAAAAUGACAUCAUACUUUAUUAUUGGUUAAGAGUUCAUGAAAAUAACAAUCUAAAAGGUAUAAAGCAUUAAUAAAUUAUAUAAGUUAUAGUAGAAUGCUAUAAAUGAUAAAAUCAUACCUUGUUGUGAUAUAUUAGUUAAUAUUAAUAAAAAUCACAGGAUUAUAAGUAGAUUCAUAUAAAGAUAUAAGUUAUUCGGCGAAUCCCAAACUGUAAUAUUCGUCGUAUAUGUGCACGAAAAUAUUGAGAAAGCAUAAAAAGACAUUAUACUCAUAACAAAAUAUGUUAUUCAAUAUAAGUGUGUACAAAGGAAAUGUACAUUGUCUUAAACGGCUAUAAACGAAGAUUUGACAAAUAUAUAUAAUAAUUAAUUGAAGGUAUACCAAAAUUCAAUUAUUAUGAUUAUACUCCCGAUCAUAAUGUGGAAACGAUUGCUAAGUAAACGAUAUAAUUUAUUUUUAUAAUUACUAUAAAAAUAUAAAUUAUUUUAGUUGUGAUACGAAACUCGUCACAUAUGAUAAUAUAAUUAAUUCUCUGGUUUUUGGGGAUUAUAACCUAAUAAAUUAUAUAUCCUAUAAAUUAUGCAACUUAUCGAACAUCGACAUAAGUGAGUAUUCGGCUACGCGAACGAACAUCCUCCUUAUCGGCUGAAGUAAGGAACUAAUCAAAUUAUUAUCGCCACAAUAGUCGAAAGCUAGGUUAAUUUCACUAAGCUUCGAAAAUCUUAAUAAUAUAAGAUUCACGUUAGUGACCCUAGUGAACGACGGAUUUUAUGAGUUGAAGAAUUGUCGUCAUGGAUUUUGUGGAUUGUGUAUCCCGUGUGUGCUUGUGAGAGGAAUGUAUCGAAAGGGGUGAAAGAGAGAGUUUUAUGAUGGUGUGUUUUUCCUUUGUAAGGAUCAAAUCCUGGAAUUGACACCUAUCUCUAUAACCGUUAAUCCAGGAGGAAUCAUAUAUUGUAGGUCUAUGUACACGGCAAAUAUUUAUAAUAAAGAACUUUGGUAUAGAUCUAUUUCUAAUGGAAAGAUUUAUGUGAAUCGUUAUUUUUCGUCUGUGGUUGCUAGCUACAACUUCGUCUGACGAGGCAACAGACGUCAAGUGUUUCUUUCUUCGUUACUAUACGACUGCUUUUGAACGUUAGUAAUGAUCUCGAUUCCUCCAUUUUUAUUUAUGUUGUGCCUGCGUGUCUUGUUUAUCGUGCCUGUGUGGCUUGUUUAUUGUGCCUAUGUGGCUUGUGGAGGAGCGACGAAUAGUGUCGGUUAUAGACAAAUUGUUAUAUUGAAGAUUUUUACUCGACGAAGUAUAGGUCUAGAUUGAGUCAAUCCUCCCAAUUUGGGCCGAGUGUGUGAGAGUGUUUAGGUUGUUAACUACCUCUCUCUACGACACAAUUCUCUGUAAGCAGAGACGUUUUAAAGAAUAGAAUCGUAAAAAGAAUGGUUAAUAAUUGUCGUUGAAAUUAUAUGAGUGAUAAAAAUAUGUGUUUAUAAUUUACCGAUUAUUGAAAAGUAUUUUGGGAUGAGUUUGCCCCACUGGUUAAGUGUCGAUUUCCAAAUUAAGUAAGAUAAUGCUUAAUUAAUUAUACGACACAGAUUCACAAAGUUUAUAAAAUUUGAAACUUAUGAGUUUUCUAUAUUAACUAUACCAACAUUUGUACAAAGUUUUAAGAGUAAAUUUGGUUAUUUUGUGUUCUCACAAAAUGAGACAUGACUUUAUUUUAUAUAAAUUUUUUUUUUCAAAAUCUUUAUAUAAAGAGCAUUUCAGUCAUGAGAGCCGUAAGAAUUUGUUAUAAUUUUGGUUUAUUUAUAUAUUUUACAAAAGGUGUAUUUUUGGAUUUGAGCAAAUGACAUUUCUAAAUGAGUUUAAAUAUAUUUUUAUGACUCUAUUAUUUUAUACUUUUUAUAGAAAAAUAUGUGUUUAUAAAAGAGUCAACCAGAUAAAUUUUAUAAAACAUUUUUGAGUGUAAAAAUACUUUGUGUCAAAACCUGUAGAACUCACCAACAAUUUUGUUGACGUAUCUUAAUGCAUGUAUUCUCAGGUUAUUUAUAAGGUCGGAAGAGUUUGUACAGAAGAUUUUCCGAUAUUCUUAUCAUACAAAUGUGAACGCCGGAUUGUUAGGCGUGUGUAGCGUUUCAGCAAAAACUAUUGUCAAUGUAAUUUCCAUUUCGGUAAUAAUAAAAGAUUAUAUUUGUACUGUUCAAUGUAUGUUUAAUAACUGUGAUUACUAGUUUACGUCAUGCACCUCGGCGUUUCCGUCGUUGGCCGAGGGUGUGACAUGUUGACAAUCAAGUAACCAGUCAAAGGCAUAUGCAACCAAUGUUUGUAAAAGUUAUUAUGAAGUGAUAUGUUAUUCUUUUAAGUUGCAAGUUAUAAAAAGUAAUUAAUUAUUUUUAGAAAUGUGUAAACGUUAUAUUGAAAAAGUAUGUAUGUUUGUAGUUUUAAAGUUUUCAAGUUGUAAGAAAUUAUAAAUUAUUAUACAAAAAUAAAUGUAUAAAAACCAAUUUAUAAUAACGUUCAAGUAAAUACAAUAAAUUAAUAGGGCUAUAUAAAAUUUAAGUUAUUGUUGUGUUAUAAAAGAAUAAUAAAAAUAUUGUUAAUAACUAUAAAUAAAGGGACCGCGAAUGUAAAAUAGAGAGUUUGUAUGCAAAAGAAAAAAAAAAAUAAACAACGGCCAUAUAGGUUUUAUGGGGGGACCCAUUGUUUAGAUAUUUCGUAAAUUCCAUAGCACAUUUUUCAACGUGUUGAAAAUAGUAACUUUCAUUAAUUUGUAAAAAAUCGAAAAAGCUGCCGGUGCUACUAAUAAAAUAAUGAUGAAGGGCGUAGGUAUAUAAAAUCGGGGGUAUGUAUAUCAGUUCCCAUCUCCAAGGAGCGGAGUUAUCUCUCCGGUGGAUGAGUGAAGAGUGGAAGAACGAAGAAGAUGGUAAUAUUAAGCGUCAAUACACCGACUGAACCCUUUUGACUUCCAACGGUUCCAUUUUAAAACCUAAUGUUUCCAAAAUUUGUAGUUUCCUAAAUUAGGAUACUAAUCUAAUAGAAAACAUUUCCAAUAAUCUUAAGCCAACUUUUGACUUUUACCUUUUUAAUCCACUUUUUAUCUUUUAUUUUGAAAUUGGUCCUUAACUUUUAUUUUUCCAUUUUGAUCCAUCUUCUAAACUUUUAUUACGAAAAAUAUUAAGUUUUUUUUAGAAAAUUAUCUUGUUAUAGCUUUGUUUUCUAUGAAAUCUUUUUUUAUAAAUUUAGUUUUUUUACAAAUUCUUUUAUCUAUAUUUUACAUACAUUUUUUUCUUUGUUUUUAUAAAUUACAAUUUUUUAAUUUAUUUUCUAUAAUUAUAAAACUAGGAAAAACCCCGCUUUGUGGGGGUUGGAUUUGUUAAAGGAAACCACUAAAUAGGUCAACUUUAUUAAGGUACAUGGAAACUAUUACAUUAAAGAUGGUUUCUAGUCGAGGGGUUUAUUGUUUAUCACACAUUUAUACUUUGUAAUCCUUUUGUGGAUAGAUCCAAUCAUGAAAGUUAUAUUGUUCUUCUUGUGUUGAAAUGAUGUUGUAAGAGCUGUUGUCCAUGAUGAAACUUCCGUAAGUUUGGUUUGAGUUGCUUCUAUGAGAUCUUGAAUUUAUCAUAAGUAGGCGAUGAGUGAGAAGAGCACAGUUUUAACAUUUAUGUUCUUCAUGGGUUAUGUGUUUUCCUUAAGAUAAGCCUUACUAAUUUUACUAAAAUACAUAAAUUUAUCAUACCCAUAAUAUACUUUGUUAUAUAAUCACACCAUAUGUCUCAAUUCUGCCAUGUCAUCCAACAAUUUCAAGUUGUCCUACAUGAUUGAAAAUAUAGUGAGCACAUCAUCUAGUUUGGUUGACAAAAAGGGUGAUGCUUGUUAAUUCCCAAAAUUCAUAUGAUGUUGGCAAAAUUAGGGUUUGCGGUGGAGAUCUGGAUACCAACUUGGAUCGUGAUAUCACUUUCCGAACUGAUAUUUCUACCCUAUGCCUGGGUUACAAGAAAUUCAGCCUACGAUAAUCCAAACGGACACUUACGUUUCUAGGCACAGAAAACGUAAGCUAAUAUGCUAAAGGGUUUUGUGAAUGUGUGAUGAAAAACAAGAGCUAAAGAACGUCCUCUUCUGGAAAGAAAGAGUUCUUUAUAUACUAAACACGAUUAGGGUUUCAUUAGGGUUGGGCCGUCAUUAGUUGCUUUGGAAGCAAGUAAUAUUAAUCCGGAUUAGGGUUACCAAAAACUAACGAGUUUCGUCAGUUUUACCAUAAUCACCCUCAAGAAAUUGAGUUUUCCAUUAUGUUCCCACAUGCAAAAUUCGGUGAGGUUUUGGGGCGCUGCCCCUUUGGACCCCGCUAGGGGCGUUGCCCCUAGACCCCGCCAAAGGGGCGCUGCCCCCGAACCCCGACUAGUCGUCAAACCGACUUCUGACUCGAUCUUAUAUAUGCGUGCACUCCGCACAACCCCGUACAUGGAUUAGAGUACAAAUCAUGAAGCCCCUUAGCUCACAUGUUAGUUCCAGUUACUUAAAAUGACAUGGUGACACUAAAAUCACCAACAUAUGACAAGUAAAUCAAUAACCAAAAUGGCAGAAAAAAAUAAAAAUAAACUCAUAUCGAAGAAACUCAUGACAUUGAAGAUUUAUAACAGGGAGAAAAGUUGAGCAAUGUCAAAUGAUCACUGAAUUUGUAAUAAAGUUUUGAAAACGUUACAACCUUAAUCCCAGUUGUUGAUUAAAGAGAUAACAUUAGCUCAUCAACCACAUGUAAAUAUAUAUUACUAGUCAACACGAGUUGUUAAAAUGAAGCAAAUCAUACCACUAUCAAACACACAGAAGGGUGAAGCAACUAAUCACAAAUUUAACCAUUUAAAAGCAUUAAAUGGUGAAGCUUACAAUAUGCAAUCUCUGUGGCAUACAAAAAACGGCUUGUGCAGAAGAAAACUUAGUCUAUGAGACAGACAUUUUACAUGUAUAUUACCAUCAAACACAGAUCAAUCAUAGCCUAAACAUUGUUUUACCACUUCCAUGACAUCAAUCACAAUUCAAUUGACCAAUUUAUCUUAAUGAAUAAGCUAUUAGCCAUAUAUUUUAUAUUAACCGUAUAUUUCGUAUAAUGAUGAAAUUAUUUUGUAAAUAUUUUCCUAACUUAGAUUAGGUCAACCAUUCUUGUCUUAUAAAGACCAUUGUGAUUGGUGGAAUAAGACACGAAAGAUUUUAUCAACUAUCAUGGUAUCAGAGCACACCUACAUCCAACCUAAUCGCAACCUUCUUCUUUUCUAUCUUCUUCAAACCUGCGAUUUAUAUUUCUUUUCUGUCUUUGUUUUCUAUCUUCUCCUUCAAAUUGUAAUCUAUCCUCUAUCUUCUCCAUCAACCUGUGACUUACAUGGCUGAAAAACUUCACCCCGCUCUCAUGAUCACCAACAUUCAGAACUUUAUUCCGAUCACUCUCGAGAUGGAGAAUGCACAAUAUACCUCAUGGGCUGAAAUCUUCAAGAUUCACUGUCGUGCAUUUGAAGUAAUUGAUCACAUUCAACCUAAAGCCGAAUCCACUGCUACUGUAGAUGGCAAACAACCUCCUUCAGUCAUGUCUAAAGAACUUUGGAAUCGCCUUGAUGCAAUUGUCAUCCAAUAAAUAUACAACACCAUCUUAAAUGACCUCCUCCAAACAAUUCUUAAAUCGAACUCCACUACUACUCAAGCUUGGACUGACCUUGAAAGUAUUUUUCAAGAUAAUCAAAAUGAACUGGCACUCUAUCUUAAACACAAACUGGUCACCACCAAACUUGCAAACUUACCAAACUGUUCGGCAUACUGCGAAGCCCUCAAGAUAUUAUCUGAUCAACUUUCUAACGUGGGUUCACCGGUUUCAAAUCAGCGUCUUGUCUUGCAACUAAUUGUUGGCCUUACUGAGUCUUAUGAAGGAAUUGCCAUGAUGAUACAACAAACGAAACCUGUCCCGGAUUUCUAUGAGGCUCGUUCCCGCCUUAUUCUGGAAGAAACUAGAAAGGAUAAUAAUGCAACCCAAUCGGAUAGUAUUGAUGCAACAACUCUUAAUACUCAAACCUCCUACAACACACGCCCUACCUACUAGGUUCAAGAUUCAAACAACAACAACAACAACAACAGGGGGCGUGGUUGUGGUCGUGAGAGAAGGGGAGGUGGUAACUUCGGUGUGGGUCGUGGCCAACAGCAGCUACUAUGGCCUUCUCCCUACACCCUAUAAUGGUCAACUUCCCACUCUUUAUCUCUUUUCUCCCAACCUUAGGCUGCUCCAUAUUCAUGGCCUCCUACACACACACCACCUUGUCCCCACCCAACCAACCAUCCCCGCUCCAUUGCUCCAGGUUUGUUAGGCCCAAGACCUUCUACACAGCAAGCAUAUGCCACAUUUGAAAGUUCCUAUACCCCAACUGACUUGGAACAAACAUUUCAUACCAUGAGCCUCCACCCUCCGGACAAGAACUGGUACAUCGAUACGGGUGCGACCUCACACAUGUCAAAUAACUUAGGUAUUCUCACCUCAUAUGUCAAUAAAGGUCUUUUUAGGAAUAUCAUUAUAGGUAAUGGCAUGCAUCUUCCAAUCCAAGGUACCGGUAACCACACAUUACCCCGACCUUUCCAUCCUCUUAAACUCAACCAUAUUCUUCAUGUUCUUCAUUUUAUUAAAAAUUUAGUUUCUGUCCGAAGACUCACAAAAGAUAACCAAAUUUCUAUUGAGUUUGACCCCUAUGGUUUUAAUGUGAAGGAUUUGCGGACACGGACGCCACUCCUUCGAUGCACUAGCAACAACGAUCUUUAUCCUCUUACUUUCAUGCAUCCUUCUCAACUCACUCAUCCAUCACAGGAGAUCUUUGGCACUAUCGCUUGGGUCACCCCGGGGCCGAUGUUCUUAGCUCUUUGAAUAACUCAUUGUCUUUUCCUUUUAGAAACAAAUUGUCAUUUUCUGUUUGUGAACCAUGCGUUUUGGGUAAACAUAUCAAAUUACCAUUUCAUUCAUCUAGUUCUGUUACUAUUUCCCCAUUUGAUAUUAUGCAUAGUGAUGUUUGGACCUCCCCGAUACUUUCAUCCGAUGUUCACAGUUAUUAUUUACUUUUCUUGGAUGAUUACACAAACUUUUUGUGGACUUUUCCCUUAUCUCAUAAAUCACAAGUCUUCCCCACUUUUCAAAAACUUCAUACUCUUAUACAAACACAAUUUAAUAAAAAUAUCAAGUCACUACAAUGUGACAACGGAAGGGAGUACGACAACAAACUCUUCCAUGAGUUUGCCUCUCAACAUGGCAUCAACUUCCAUUUCUCUUGUCCGUAUACAUCAUCCCAAAAUGGAAAAUCUGAAAGAAAGAUACGAUCCAUAAACAAUAUAAUUCGGACCAUUCUAUCACACUCCCAAGUCCCUUCCCACUUCUGGCACUAUGCUCUCUCCCAUGCUACCUAUUUGCUCAAUAUCUUCCAUCCAUAGUGCUUUCUUACGACACAUCCAUUCAUAAACUUUACCAUCGCCAUCGCUCAUAAUCUCACCUAAGGGUUUUCGAUUGCCUUUGCUACCCUCUCCCAAGCUCUACAACCAUUCAUAAACUUCAACCCCGCUCCCAUUCUUGUGUCUUCCUUAGUUACCCACCCGACCACCGUGGGUACAUGUGUUUCGAUACAUCCAAACAGAAAAUCAUUACAUCUCGCCAUGUCAUUUUUUACGAACAUUCUUUUCCCUUUCAACAUUCCUCUCCUUUACAUCCUAACUACUCCAUAUUCACCGAUGAACCACAUCACCCUCUAACGUGGCUCAGUUCUCCCACCAGUACUACUCCAACAUCGCCCCCACCCAACAACACCACCGGCCCCUUCAAGAAUUCCCAAACCUCUCAUACAAUUCACUUAUAGUCGGCGUCCCAAACAAACUGGACAUUCAAACACCACAGAAACCACCAACACCACCGAACCCAUCAUCACCUCCAAUAUUCCUACCCGUACCAUAGAAACCCGUAGCAUGUCCGACAUCUCCAAGCCUAAAUGUAACCUUAACCUCUAUGCCUCCACUCUUAUCUCUCCCAUUCCUAAAAACCCAAUCGAAGCCUUGAAUAAUUUGGAUUGGAAGAACGCCAUGCUUGAUGAAUUUCGGGCACUUAUCGACAAUAAGACAUGGGAACUUGUACCAAGACAUCCUCACAUGAACAUUGUCCGAAGUAUGUGGAUUUUUCACCACAAAAUGAAAUCUGAUGGUACACUGGAAAGAUAUAAGGCACAGUUAGUUUGUGACGGGUGGUCUCAACAGGUAGGUGUGGAUUGUGGUCAAGCCAGAAACCAUUAGAACCAUGCUUACCAUCACUCUCUCUCAAUCUUGGCCUAUUCACCAAUUAGAUGUCAAAAAUGCGUUUCUUCAUGGGCAUUUGCAUGAAACAGUUUAUGCAUCAACCAAUGGGAUUUCACGACACACAAUUUCCCAACCAUGUACUUCUCUUAAAGAAGCCCCUGUACGGUCUAAAACAAGCCCUGAGAGUGUGGUAUCAAAAGUUCGCUGAAUACGCCUUCCAAAUUGGGUUCCAACUUAGUCGCUUCGAUCAUUCACUAUUCAUCUACCGACAUGGAGGUGAUACCGCCUACCUAUUGCUAUACGUGGAUGAUAUUCUUCUUGUGACAUCCUCAGAUUCUCUAUGACAUAAAUUAAUGGCUCUCCUUGCCAAAGAGUUCGCAAUGAAAGACCUUGGGCCCUUAAGGUUUUUUUUUUUUUUUUUUUUUUUUUUUUUUUUUUUUUUGGGGGUAUUGCAGUCACACGCCAAUUUGCAGGUUCGAUGUUCCUUUCAUAGCAAAAAUAUGUUGCAGAAAUUCUAAAAAGCGCAGGCUUCAAAAAUUGAAAACCUCUUGCAACACCGGUCGACUCAUCAGGAAAAAUUAGCACCAAAAUCGGCGAACUUUUGGAGAAUCCGACUAAAUUUCGGCAGCUAGCAGGGGCCCUUCAAUAUCUCACUUUUACACGUCCGGACAUUAGCUAUGCGGUUCAACAAAUUUGCAUGCACAUGCAUGCCCCUCGAGUUCUUCAUUUCACGACUCUAAAAAGAAUACUUUGAUACAUUUGUGGCACGAUAGAUCAUGGCUUAACACUUACCGACUCCAACACUACAUCGCUUUUAUCCUACACCGAUGAUGAUUGGGCGGGCUGUACCGACACUGUAACGUCCCAAUUUUCAAGUCCAAAAAUUUCAUUUUUUAUUAACUGACUCAUAAAAACAUUCAUAAGAAAAUACUGUGAAAUCACAUCAUCUCAUAAAACAAUGUAUCAUGUCUGAAAGAUCAAGUCAUAAACUUAGUAACAUGUCAGAGUACAAUCCCAGAAUAUCCAUAGUGCGGAAAACAAAGAGUGUGUGUAUGAUCUGCCGCUACCGCACUAGCUCCUUCCCCUUCGCUGAAGAGGUACCUGAAACCAAAACUGUAAACUGUAAGCACGAAGCUUAGUGAGUCCCCCCAUCGUACCACAUAACAUACAUACUGUCGGGCAAUUCUGGGGUGCCGACCUACCUGUGUCAAGCCAUUCUGGGGUGCCGUCCUACCCGUGUCAAGCCAUUCUAGGGUGCUAACCUACCCGUCAGUCCUAAUAAGCGACCCUCGGGGACUAUUCCACCCCUACUGCUACUAUCACAUAUAUCAUAACAUAAACAUACUAUCAGACAUAUUUGGGGUGUCCGAACUACCCUUCGGUCCUAACAACCGAACUUAGGGACUAUUCCCCUCCUACUGCCACUAUCAUGUAUAACAUAUCAUGCCAACAUAUAAACAUUGGGGUGUCCGAACUACGACAUAUCUGGGGUGUCUGACCUACCCUUCGGUCCUAACAACCGAACUUAGGGACUAUUCCCCUCCUACUGCCACUAUCAUGUAUAACAUAUCAUGCCAGCAUAUAACAUAUCAGGUAGUAGCAAACCUAGAUGACAUCACAAAGACAAUCAUCUAACAUACAACUCCUACUGGUGGGCCGACAUUGUGGCCGUAGACCAAACCGCUACUGGAGGUAACUCACCUCGUAUGAGUAUCUGCUGAUAAUCUGUGCGGGAAACCUCUAUCUGCUGUUGCUCCAGAAAUCCUCCGACUAUAAUCCCCACAAAACACUCAGUCAGAAUCUGAUAUCUACUCUUAGGGUAAAAUGACUAUUUUACCCCCAACCAAGUCCAAGUCAAAGUCAACUUCCAGUUGACCCAACUCGCCGAGUUGGUCCGUCAACUCGUCGAGUCCCUGCCCUUUACUCGUCCUUAUCCACAACUCGACACGUCGAUAUGAACAUCGAAUGAACCUUUAUCUGACUCGUCGAGUUGUAUGAACAACUCGACAAGUUCACCUUCAUCUGAUGAACAAGUCCUGUCCUUGACUUGCCGAGUUAUAUGAACAACUCGUCGAGUUCGUCAUCAACCAUAAGGAGAUUGCCUUGGACUCGCCGAGUCUGUUCUAGCACUCGUCGAGUCCCAUGAACUCCAGGUCUAAGGCUAAAUCCAAUACGUUGGGUCACUCCUUCGGACCUUCUACAACCCUUCUAACACCCAAAUGAGUUCUUUUGACCCUCAACAGAUAUGGGACUUUAUGCCUUGGACUCAUCGAGUCCCAAGAACGGACUCGUCGGGUCGAUAACGUCCAUGCCCUAAUUCCUCGAUUUCUGAUGUACAACCUUUGACCAAAAGAUAGAUCCAAGCCCCUAAGCUCGAUCUAGCACGUAAAGUUACGAACUUUACGUGUAUGCAUGAGACUUUUGAGCCUAAAAGGCUCUAAAAUGGCUCUUAUGUUGCACGGGACCUUCCUUCAGUGCAAAAGCAAACCCAAAUCUGCCUUGUGACCCCUCCCAAGACUUGGAUCCAAGGUCUUGACCCCCCAACCAUGUUUGCAAUCAUGGUUGGCCACCUCAUAUGGCUUAAAAAGCCCUAAAUCUUCCCCAAAAAGGGAUCUAACAAAUGAACAAGCAAGGUACAGACUUUAUAACUUUCAAAGACUGCAAAUGAUGCACCAAACUUGAAUCCUUUAGUCUCCUCUUGAUCCUUAUAUGCUCUUCCUUCUUCCUUGAGGUCAAAACCCAUAAAAAAAUCAUUCAAAAGCCUUAGAUCUUGCACAAAACACUUAGGGUUUGCUAUGGAGGGUUUCUGGGAGCAAUAGGGACGAGUGGUGGCUGAAAGAGAUGAUUAAAUGGGGUGCAAACCCUCAUAUUAGGGUUUUUGUCCAGUCAUGUGACAACCCGAAAUUCUAUUCUGUACAAACAAUAGCACUUCAAUAGAAGUCAGAACAGUUGCAGUAAAUUUUUAGACUUUUAGUAUAAGUUUGAGUAUUUCAGGAUUUACACUUAAAGAGAUAUCAGGAGAGAGGAUGCCCUAGGGUUUUGUGCAACUCUGUUAUUUCAAAACGCUAUGAAAUUAGAGUUCAUUGCUUGAAUAAAAUAUUUUCUGCCAAAAACCCCAGGAAUAUAUAUANAUGUAUAUAUAUAUAUAUGAUUCUGAGCCAUAAUUAUUCAUUUGUUACAUUUCCAACUAGAGAAAAGCCAAAUUCUCUUUCUCGGAUCUUCGGACUUUCGUCCCAAAAUNAAAACGUGAGUACUUCUAUCUAGUUGUAUUAUAUAGCUUAUUAUGUGCUUAAUAACCUAGAAAUCAUAUCAAAACAUCAAGAUUUAAGAGUUUACGGCCCAAGAAGUUCUUGGACCGUAAACCCUUCUUUAAGGGGCAAAUGAGUGCCUAGUCCUUUCCUUGUGCAAUGAAACUAUGCUAGGCUUGUAUCUUAGUGUGUGUAGGACUAGAAAACACCCAAGAACACCAAGAGUAAGGUGUUCACGGCCCAAGAAGUUCUUGGACCGUGAACUCCAAACUCAAGGGCCAAAAGGUGCUUUAAACCCUCCAAAAGCCUUGGACACUAGCCUAGAUUCACUUCUAGUUAAAUUAGGGACUUGAAAUCACCAAAAACCCAUCCCCAUCAGAGAUUACGGCUGUAAUCUCUAAGGGAAUUGGUCCCAGGGCCGUAAACUCCUCAAAGGAGUGUAUUAAUGCCCUAAACCCUUCCAAGGAUUAAACCAUCAAGUAGAAAUGCUUCUAGGGAAUAUGUAAAGCUUCAAUGCACCAAAUAACCUAAAACUUAGGAGCUUACGGCCGUAAACUCAAGGGUUUAUGACCAUAAACUCCUUGUGUGUUGGUUCUUGGAGAGUAAACUCAACAAUGGGGUCCUUUGGAACCCUAAACCCCCUAGCCUUGACCUACAACAACUUAGAUGCCAUCCUUAGGGCUAAUAACACUUAUGUAAGGUGUUUAGCAUGUUAUAGGAGGUCUUAUCAUUAUCAAUUAGUUGUUUAAAGUCUAAUUGGAUACAUAUAUGUCAUAUUAUAUGUUAACUAGGAUCAUAGAGUGUGUUCAAGACUUCACUUGACACCUAGCAAUCCUACAUCUUCAGUUCAUCCGUACCACUCACUACAGGUGAGUUCAUACCCCUUAAUCAAUGGUUUAAAUGUUUUUAAAUGCUUUUAUGGGGGGAUACAAGUUAAAUACUUAUAGUUAUUACAUCAAUCACAUGUGAUUAAUAACUACAAAACCAAUGAUUUUCUUACUGUUCAAACUGUUUAUCAAACUAUUUUGCUUCAAACUGUUUUACUNNNNNNNNNNNNNNNNNNNNNNNNNNNNNNNNNNNNNNNNNNNNNNNNNNNNNNNNNNNNNNNNNNNNNNNNNNNNNNNNNNNNNNNNNNNNNNNNNNNNNNNNNNNNNNNNNNNNNNNNNNNNNNNNNNNNNNNNNNNNNNNNNNNNNNNNNNNNNNNNNNNNNNNNNNNNNNNNNNNNNNNNNNNNNNNNNNNNNNNNNNNNNNNNNNNNNNNNNNNNNNNNNNNNNNNNNNNNNNNNNNNNNNNNNNNNNNNNNNNNNNNNNNNNNNNNNNNNNNNNNNNNNNNNNNNNNNNNNNNNNNNNNNNNNNNNNNNNNNNNNNNNNNNNNNNNNNNNNNNNNNNNNNNNNNNNNNNNNNNNNNNNNNNNNNNNNNNNNNNNNNNNCAUAAUACAUAGUGAUGAGAAACAAACAUAAUACAUAGUGAUGAGAAACAAACAUAAUACAUAGUGAUGAGAAACAAACAUUAUACAUAGUGAUGAGAAACAAACAUAAUACAUAGUGAUGAGAAACAAACAUACAGGUUAGACAGAGGAAGAACACACAAUACAACUAGCACAUACAUUACAUAUACAUUACGUUCAGUUAUGUGAGCCAUUAAAUGGGUCAUGACACUACCUGUCAUGACCGUUUUUGUAUCCAGAAUCUCCUUAAUUGGGGAGCGUAUGAGUUUGCGUAUAGAUCUAUACUGGAUAUCCUACACCUUGCUGCUUGCUACAGUGGGACUUGUAAGUCUAUGGGUGCCAAAUGUCAUUUCUUACCGCGUCUUACAUCGUCGUUUUACUAUUGAGUUAGUAGCAGGGUACAUGCCAAUCACAUGGUACUUUAAAUAACAAUUGGUUUAAGGUAGUUAGUAUAGCAGUAGUUACUUAAUACAACACUACAGUACUAUAAUAUUUAUCCCAUUACAUUCAUUUCAUGAACAUUCACACGAUGCACGGUAAUGUAAAAAAACUAUAUUUGUGGUUAAUGAUAGUUGGAGUUGAGAAAAUACACACUCUUACAAGAGACACACACACAGUUACUAGAUGCCUUGGUAGAAGGCUACUCUUAGUAGGAAACAUAGGGUUUUCUAGGAUAGUUCAAACAAACACAAACUUUACAAAACUUAUACAUUACAUCUUACAAAUGCUUUCAUACAAACUAAGACACUAAUAUACUUAUGAUCUCACCAGCUUUAAAAAUGAUACCCGCUUUCAAAAUAACUUGUAUUCUCAGGUCACCACUAGACAGGUACAGGUGCC